ACAGCAGUAGCCGCGGGAAUACGUAGGUGGCAAGCGUUGUCCGGAAUUAUUGGGCGUAAAGGGCUCGCAGGCGGUUUCUUAAGUCUGAUGUGAAAGCCCCCGGCUCAACCGGGGAGGGUCAUUGGAAACUGGGAAACUUGAGUGCAGAAGAGGAGAGUGGAAUUCCACGUGUAGCGGUGAAAUGCGUAGAGAUGUGGAGGAACACCAGUGGCGAAGGCGACUCUCUGGUCUGUAACUGACGCUGAGGAGCGAAAGCGUGGGGAGCGAACAGGAUUAGAGACCCCUGUAGUCCCUGUCUCUUAUAA
rnacentral:rRNA from 1 species